rnacentral:rRNA from 1 species
CCCUUCCUACGGGACGCAGCAGUGAGGAAUAUUGGUCAAUGGGCGAGAGCCUGAACCAGCCAAGUCGCGUGAAGGAUGACGGCCCUACGGGUUGUAAACUUCUUUUGUCAGGGAGCAAUUGGGUCCACGCGUGGGCUUAGCGAGAGUACCUGAAGAAAAAGCAUCGGCUAACUCCGUGCCAGCAGCCGCGGUAAUACGGAGGAUACAAGCGUUAUCCGGAUUUAUUGGGUUUAAAGGGUGCGUAGGCGGUUUGAUAAGUUAGAGGUGAAAUACCGGUGUUCAACACCGGAACUGCCUCUAAUACU